AAAGGGAAUGUCAAAUUAUAAUCUCACCAGUCAAUUAUGAAGGAGUCACACAGCAUAUUUACCAAUAUUUAGUAUUACCUUAAAUAUAGCUUACUAAUUUGACAGGGAAAACAUAGGUUAGAAUUUCAGAUAAUCACAGUGAAUUAAACUUGAGCAAACUGAUAGAGGAAGAAACCACAGAGAAGCAAGCUCCAAAACAGCCUUCAGAUUCCUCUGGAGUCAUUAGUUGUCUCCUAACUUGUUCACACAUAUGCUCAGUGAGACUAUAAGACACCCAAUGAAAACCAGCAGUCAUGAACAGAAAUAAGAUCCACUAUAUUCAUAUUCAGCAUUUCUUUAUUUAACAUCCUAGCUGAUUCAAGAAAAAGGAGUAGCACAAAAAGUGGAAUAGGUGGUGAUAUGGUUUGUCUGUGUCUGCACCCAAAGCUCAUCUUAAAUUCCCAAAUGUUGCUCAUUAAAACCACAAUUAAAUACCAUCUCAUACUUGUUAGAAUGGCUGUUAUGAAAAAGAUG
rnacentral:lncRNA from 1 species